GCAGUGGCGAUUCAGUGGUAGAAUUCUCACCUUCCAUUCACAAGACCUGGGUUCAAUUCCCAGCCAAUGCA
rnacentral:tRNA from 1 species